rnacentral:tRNA from 1 species
GCCGCCGCGGCGGUCGGCCUCGCCGAUCGCGGCCGGCUCGCGCCCGGCCUGCGCGCCGACAUCGUGCUGGUCGAUGCCGCGGCG